rnacentral:rRNA from 1 species
UGCGCUGGCGGCGUGCCUAACACAUGCAAGUCGAGCGGUAACAGGUGUAGCAAUACAUGCUGACAGCGGCGAACGGGUGAGUAAUGUUUCGGAAUCUGCCCAAUGGUGGGGAAUAACCAGCCGAAAGGUUGGCUAAUACCGCAUAAGUCCUACGGGAGAAAGCGGGGGAUCGCAAGACCUCGCGCCGAUGGAUGAGCCGAAACCGGAUUAGCUAGUUGGUAGGGUAACGGCCUACCAAGGCGACGAUCCGUAGCUGGUCUGAGAGGACGACCAGCCACACUGGGACUGAGACACGGCCCAGACUCCUACGGGAGGCAGCAGUGGGGAAUAUUGGACAAUGGGGGAAACCCUGAUCCAGCGACGCCUCGUGUGUGAAGAAGGCCUGCGGGUUGUAAAGCACUUUUAGUGGGGAUGAAAAGCACAGGGCUAACACCUCUGUGUCUUGACCUAACCCAAAGAAAAAGCACCGGCUAACUCUGUGCCAGCAGCCGCGGUAAUACAGAGGGUGCAAGCGUUAAUCGGAAUUACUGGGCGUAAAGCGUGCGUAGACGGUUAUGUAAGUCGGGUGUGAAAGCCCCGGGCUCAACCUGGGAAUUGCAUUCGAGACUGCAUAGCUGGGGUGCGGAAGAGGGAAGCGGAAUUUCCGGUGUAGCGGUGAAAUGCGUAAAUAUCGGAAGGAACACCAGUGGCAAAAGCGGCUUCCUGGUCCAGCACCGACGUUCAGGCACGAAAGCGUGGGGAGCAAACAGUUUUAGAUACCCUGGUAGUCCACGCCAUAAACGAUGAG